GUAAGUUUAAAGCCCUUCUGCCCUGAAAUAAAAUGUGCUUCUGUAUAUUUUCCCUGAACAUUUUAAUCUUUGGGUAGUGUUUCAUGUUUGAUAUGCUGCAUCCACUCCCAUUCACUGGAAGCAUACCUGUCAUUCAGCACGUGUGUCCAGGAGAGGCAGGUCAGACAGACCUCCACCAGCCACCAAAGUACACACUGACCCAGAGCUCCUGUUUCCUGUACAAUGGAGUCAACCCGAUCAACCUGUCUUCUGUCUGGAGUCCAGCAUUGUCUCAGGGGGGUCAGAGUCCAUCUGGAGGCUGAAGACCAGGGCCACCGAUUUCACAACCGCAAGACAUUCCAGCCCGAGGCCAGGCCCGUUAUCUCACGGCCACUGUUGGUUUCCACAGCGCCGGAUCCUACUGGAAGGCGCCGCAGCAGCCUGUCUGGCUGAGCCUAUCCGCGCUCCGCGCCCCAUCUGAUGGGAUUCUGCAGAGCUAAUGGAUAAGACUGGCGCUCCUGUCAAUCAAGCAGUAUCUUGUCUAUUCAUUAUCGUGUCCUUUGUUUUGCGGUGGACACGUGCUCCCCUCGUUUCCUGCGUGGAAUGAGGAUGGACAGAUCGAGCGUCUCCUGAGGAAAUGGAGCGUUAGAUGCCGUUUUCCCUGAUAAAUGCUGUCACUUCUCCCAUGGCUUCAGGGGAGCGGUUCACACUGAAGCCAUAUGGAAGAUCCCAGAAAAAGAAGUUAAAAGUGGUUUUCAGUUUUGACACAUUACAUCUAUUUAAGCGUCACUUUCCUGGUCAUACUUCCCAGAACAGGUCCAUAAAAAGAUAAUAUGUUUUAUGAUGGACACAUUAAUAUCCUUUUUGUCUAUAUUAAUCUCAGUGCAGUGCCCUUUCUCACUCUCCUCUCACUCUUUUUAACAUCGAAAUAACAACAAUGUAGCAGAAAGGAGCUCCAGUAAAAUAUACUGCAACUUACAAGAC